rnacentral:rRNA from 1 species
GGUAGUCCACGCCGUAAACGGUGGGCGCUAGUUGUGGGAACCUUCCACGGUUUCUGCGACGCAGCUAACGCAUUAAGCGCCCCGCCUGGGGAGUACGAUCGCAAGAUUAAAACUCAAAGGAAUUGACGGGGCCCCGCACAAGCAGCGGAGCAUGCGGCUUAAUUCGACGCAACGCGAAGAACCUUACCAAGGCUUGACAUAUACAGGAAUAUGGCAGAGAUGUCAUAGCGGUAAAACGUCUGUAUACAGGUGGUGCAUGGUUGUCGUCAGCUCGUGUCGUGAGAUGUUGGGUUAAGUCCCGCAACGAGCGCAACCCUCGUUCUGUGUUGCCAGCAUUUAGUUGGGGACUCACAGGAGACUGCCGGGGUUAACUCGGAGGAAGGUGGGGAUGACGUCAAAUCAUCAUGCCCCUUAUGUCUUGGGCUGCACGCAUGCUACAAUGGCUGGUACAAAGGGCUGCAAUACUGCAAAGUGGAGCGAAUCCCAAAAAGCCAGUCUCAGUUCGGAUUGGGGUCUGCAACUCGACCCCAUGAAGUCGGAGUUGCUAGUAAUCGUAGAUCAGCAACGCUACGGUGAAUACGUUCCCGUGGCUUGUACACACCGCCCGUCACAUCACGAAAGUCGGUAACACCCAAAAGUCAGUGCCCAAC